UCUCAGUUUUUAAGUGAGAUAAAUACUUCGUUGUUUUGAAAUUCAUCGAUCUCAGUUUUUCAAAAACUGUGACUAAAAAGUUGAUUGCUUUUUUUGGAUUAAAAAUCGAUUGUGAGACCGAGAAAGUCGGGCUCUCAUUUCUUCCUCCUCACACUCGGGCUCUGAGAACUAUUGUGAGAAAAUCGAUUUCGAAGCUCCACCGCAACCAUCAUCUGCACCGGCGAGGAAAGCACCAUCACCACCACUAUCUGCACCACCGUCUACUAAGGGUUUACGAUCUUGAGUCUCCUCCUAGUGUUUGGAUCACCUCACCUCUUGCCUGACGUUGCUCCUUGCGAUUUCAAGCGGAAAAGGAGAGCCUAAUAGCUCUUACAGCUGAGCUUAUAUUUGGAGCAAUGGAGUAUACUACAGCUAUUGACAUCUGGUCUGCUGGUUGUGUUCUUGCUGAACUUCUUCUUGGGCAUGUACAUAUUUUGUCCCACAAGGAUUAUGUGCCUAUUGUUUUUGACAAUUUAGUGCAAGCGUGGUUGUGGAUGGGAGCACUAUUAAUUUAGGGCUUUGGGAUACUGCAGGUCAGGAGGAUUACAAUAGAUUAAGACCCCUGAGCUAUCGAGGGGCCGAUGUCUGUAUACUUGCAUUUUCUCUGAUUACCAAGGCUAGUUAUGAAAAUAUAUCAAUAAAGCUGAAUUUAUAAAUGGGCAAGCGUUGUGUCGACAGGGAGAUCAAAAUUCUCCAGUGAUAAUAAUACCAUUGGCCAUAAGGGAUGUUUUCGGCAUCAUUCAAGAUGCAAGUGUGCCGAGAAAAUUUAUUAGGCUUUGAAGUACUAUUCUGUUUUUCUAGGUUACCUGUUGAUUUAAUGUUAUGAUGGCAUCUUCCUUUUUCUCCUACUAUUUUAGGUUUUCUUUGGAAUACUUUACUAUAUUUGUAUCUACAUUUUGCCUUAUGCUUCAAAUUGUACCUUGGGUUGUGAUAAAUUCAUCUUAGUUUAGUAAUAAAAUUAUAGGUCCGUCGUGCCUUGAGUUCA